rnacentral:rRNA from 1 species
AUGACUACGGCGAUUCCUGGGUUUGCUUGGAGUGCCUUCUCAUGCUUUGUGGUGGCGGAGGAUUCAGUCCAGAGGGCCAUGUUAGAGCACAUCACAAGGAGGAGCCUGAGCAUCGGUGGUUCGCAAACUACAAGAAUCCAGAUGAACUGUACUGUCGUGAGUGUAAUCAGGAGGUUCCACUCAAGGUUUUUAAGUAUCGUCCAGCGAAAUCAGCAGAAGCUUCAACUGAGUUAG